rnacentral:sRNA from 1 species
GCCCUGCUGCAUCAGAUGUGUAGGGACUUUGUUGUGACUGUGUGUUGAAUGCCACUAGUAACUGGAAGCUCUUGACAGCCUCCUUAAAAUGGACUUUGGCACCCAAAUAACGAAGGGGUACACUGUGCUUUUGUGUGUGUGUGGAUACCUGCUGUGUUUUUCCCUUUUCUCAGUGAAUUUGUAUUUAGAUUGUCGUUCUAGAAGAAAGUCUCGAUGUGAGCUUGUUAGGUUUUUUUGAAAUUACACUUUAAUAUUUGAUUACUUUUCGUUCAGAAGAUAUUCACAUUGUAAUUUUUCUGGGUGUCUGUCUAAUUACCUGAAUAGCACAACACCAUCUGGCAGCAGAUUUCAGCGGGAGCAGCCAUGGAAUCCCAGUGUUCCAAUGCAGAAGUUGCAGGAUAUCCAGAGAGCAAUGGAGCUGCUAUCCGCAUGCCAGGGCCCAGCCAGGAACAUUGACGAGGCUGCAAAGCACAGAUACCAGUUUUGGGACACACAACCGGUACCGAAACUAGAUGAAGUCAUAACAUCUCACGGUGCAAUUGAACCAGAUAAAGACAACGUACGCCAAGAACCGUAUUCUUUGCCACAGGGUUUUAUGUGGGACACUUUAGACUUGAGUGAUGCCGAAGUGCUCAAGGAGUUAUACACGUUGUUAAAUGAGAAUUACGUAGAAGAUGAUGACAAUAUGUUCCGAUUUGACUAUUCACCCGAGUUCCUGUUGUGGGCUCUGCGUCCACCAGGCUGGCUCCUGCAGUGGCACUGUGGGGUCAGAGUGUCUUCAAAUAAAAAACUGGUCGGGUUCAUAAGUGCCAUCCCAGCAAACAUUCGGAUUUAUGACAG